CCCAAUAUUUCUCAUUCGAUUUCUAACUCUCGAACCAAACGUUUCGGCCGGCUUCAAAAUUUUUUGUAACAAAAUUCUAAAUUAAAUUUUUUUCGGAAAAAACCAACAAAAAUUCGCUCUAAAGAUAAUCAUGUGCGAACCGUGUGGACCAUUCGCGCCUCGUGGCUGCCGCAGCCGUGAACUGCGUUGCGGUAUCAUGUACACCACCUGCGAUUGUGUGAAGCGCAAUGGGCUCCAGGAUAAGUGUCCGCGAUCGGCAUGCCAAGGACGGCCGGCGUGCCUGUGCUUCCCGUACCCGGGCUGCGGACCAUCGGCCUUCCCCCUGCGCUACGCAAACAUGACAAUGGGCGUGAACAAUAAGCGGAUGCGUUGUCAGGCAACUGGAGCUGCCGGUGGCGGUGGAGGCGGUGCUUGCGGUGGUCGCGCUGCCGGCGGAUGCUGUGGAGGUCCAUGUGAUCCAUGUGGAGGCGGUCCAUGCUGUGGUCCAUCUCCCUGCUGUGCCCGCUAUCUCGUGAGAAAGGACAACAUUCCUUGUGUGUGGUGUGCGCCCUGUAAGGCUCACUGCUACAACACGCCACCGAAAUGCUGCUGCUAGGUGUGACCAGCAUCCUCCAUUCGGUCCGCUCUUGAUCCAAGCCCCUCCGUUAAGUCCCGUCGCGCGUGGCUUCUAGGAUCGGAGUGCCUGGGAGGGAGCACGAGCCACACACCCUUCGGUAAAAAACCCCGUCCCAGGUCUUAAGCCAUUCCAAGCUUUGAUCAAA